rnacentral:rRNA from 1 species
UACGUAGGUGGCAAGCGUUGUCCGGAAUUAUUGGGCGUAAAGCGCGCGCAGGCGGUCCUUUAAGUCUGAUGUGAAAGCCCACGGCUCAACCGUGGAGGGUCAUUGGAAACUGGGGGACUUGAGUACAGAAGAGAAGAGUGGAAUUCCACGUGUAGCGGUGAAAUGCGCUAGAUAUGGUGGAAGACACCAGUGGCGAAGGCGCUCGUUG